AGCGAACGCUGGCGGCGUGCCUAACACAUGCAAGUCGAACGUGAAAGGGAGCAAUCCCAAGUAAAGUGGCGUACGGGUGAGUAACACGUAGGUAAUCUACCCCAGAAUCUGGAAUAACCGGCCGAAAGGCUGGCUAAUACUGGAUAGAGCGACGGCAUCCGUAAUUGGGUUUUUCGGGAAAGGUAGCCUGUAAAAAGGCCUUCGUUCUGGGAUGAGCCUGCGUCCCAUGAGCUAGGUGGUGAGGUAAAAGCUUACCAAGGCAAUGACGGGUAGCUGGUCUGAGAGGACGGUCAGCCAGACUGGGAGUGAGACACGGUCCAGACGCCUACGGGAGGCGGCAGUGGGGAAUCUUGCGCAAGGGACGAAAGUCUGACGAAGCAACGCGGCGUGAGUGAAGAGGGACUUCGGGUUGUGGAGCUCUGUCGAGUGGGAGGAAAAUGCUUGGAGCUCACAGCUAGAGGAACUGACGGUAAUACUAAAGGAAGCACCGGCUAACUACGUG
rnacentral:rRNA from 1 species